UAGGGAAUAUUGGUAAUGUGCGAAAGCGCGAACCAGCAACGCCGCGUGCACGAUGAAGGCCUUCGGGUUGUAAAGUGCUUUUAGAGAGGAUGAGGAAGGACAGUACUUUCUGAAUAAGCCUCGGCUAACUACGUGCCAGCAGCCGCGGUAAAACGUAGGAGGCUAGCGUUAUCCGGAUUUACUGGGCGUAAAGCGCGUGCAGGUGGUUUCGUAAGUUGGAUGUGAAAGCUCCUGGCUCAACUGGGAGAGGUCGUUCAAAACUGCGAGGCCUGAGAGUGGUAGAGGGGGGUGGAAUUACGGGUGUAGUGGUGAAAUGCGUAGAUAUCCGGAGGAACACCAGUGGCGAAAGCGGCCUCCUGGACCAUUUCUGACACUCAGACGCGAAAGCUAAGGUAGCAAACG
rnacentral:rRNA from 1 species